rnacentral:lncRNA from 1 species
GCCGGUGUAUGUUCCCUAAUGCAAAAUGUGACAGCUUUCUGGAUCAGCGUGUCAUUCCUUGAACAAUCUCGCCAUUUGAAUGUGUAUGCCACUGUACACAUAUAGCGGUAGAUGGUUAGACGACAAAAAAUUGACAUGCCAAUUACAUAUCUUACUCACUAAGAUCUAAGUGACUAAAAUUCAAAAUAGAGACACAAUAGUAAAGCACCACGCCCAUGGUCCCGUCAUGUACCUAGUUCAGAUAUAAUAUUUCAUAUCACAACUAAGGAAUCAACUGAUAAGCAACAGCCUCGUUAGCAAGAGGAAUAAACUAAAGUAAUCCCUUUUCAAAUCCACCAAGCAGUUCAUGUAUAUGACGUCCUGGCAAGUCUAAAGUAGUAACACACCAACUCAAACACUAAGGAGUGGAUAAUUGAACUGAGGAUGAUGUCAAAUAUAUGUUUGGCAGUGUAACAAACAAGAUAAGUAGUACAAUAUCAACCCUAAAAGGGAUUUAAGGCUAAAUCUACCCACAGUGUAGUUUGUUUCAAUGAGGCUUCACAUUCUGAACCAUACCACCACAAUUUGUUCCUAGGUCCAAAAUUGCAGCUCUGAUUUUUAUCCAUAAUAUCACUUGAAACAAUACAACUAUUCAAAUAGUGAACGGAAGAACAACCUACAAGGUUACAACCAGAAUAUGUCUCGUUAAGGAGCAAUAAUAUUCUGGGUGAAAUAGUCUUAGGUGUAGAAUGUUUAGAUGGCUUCAACUGAUUAGUGUGUGUUAUUUCUCAGGCCUAUGGAGCAGAUAGGAAGGAACUCAGAGCUACACUACCCUGAGGGCUGUGUUUGCAUUUUUUGAUCACCUUUUCAUACGCACACGAGAUAAAGCUAUAAGUACAACAAAUAAUUGUGAUGGUAAAAUGAUUGGGCUUCAUCAAGCAUAGUGACUGAAAUGGUUUGUCUUAAAUGUAGGAAUUUCCUUCCUUGUCAAUGUUUCCUUUCUCUAACUGUAAACACUAUUCUCGUGUAUUUCCCGUUUUCCUCUAUUCUUCCAUCUUAGAUUGUAAUAAAUUCGGGUGUAGCACAACUACACAGUGUUUUUUCAACUUGAGUUGUUUUUACAUUCAAAUCACCAUUUUACGUCAUUACUUGAGUUGAGGGUUUUGCAAAACAGUCUCUCAACCUCCUUGAGGUAGGGAUGAGGUCGGGGUACACUCUAACUUUCUCUUGCUACACUUGUGAGAUUAUACUAGGUAUGUUGUUAUCACCAUUUUACCUCGUUUAUUCAUUAGAUCAUCUUAACAGUGUAAAUAGACGUUAACCUAUCUUGGUCCCCUCAGUAGUCACUACACCCUAGCAGGGUCCUAUCAACUUUUAUAAAUAAGAAAGCACAACCAGUUGUAUUAGUAAAGUCUCAAGUUAGAGUAAUCUUCUCUCCAAAAUUCUCUCUGAAGAGAACAGAAAUGAAACAGAUCCAACUAAGCAGCAUAUAGAAAACGGUAGUACCCGAGCUCAAGCAUGUAAAGCUUGAUGUAUAAGCAGAAUAUCAACAUUUUGUAUAAGCAGAAUAUCAACAUGAGUAGGCUAUAUGUCGAAAUCAUAUAUCUAAAGAUUAGCAUGUUUAUUAAUCACAAUAGAUAAACAAGAGUCAUCGAGCAAGUUGAACGAGCCUUCCCCCAUCACAGAACUAUCGAAAUACAAACUUUCAACAUAUAUUCAAAAGAAAUUAGUAAAUCAAAUGAAAUCCAGAAUGUAAAAAGACCAAUA